rnacentral:tRNA from 2 species
GGCGCAGUGGUGAAAUUGGUAUACACGCUACGUUCAGGACGUAGUGGGGGCAACCCCGUGAAGGUUCAAGUCCUUUCUGCGCCACCA